UCCACCACCCCCACGAGGAAGGCGGGAGGGAGUGAGGCACCCCUCUGCCUGGGGGCUUUGAUGGCGAGCAGGGCAAGAGAGACCCUCGGGCCUCCCACCUCCAGCAGAGAGGUGAGGAGGGGGUGACAGCCCUGCUCGUCUCUGCAGGCCCAGGAGGCUCUGCCAGUGCCCAGGACUCCCUGGGCCCCAUCACCCGCCCAGUCACUCCCCUACUUAAUGCACAGGCACGGAGCCACGCCCAUUCCAGACUCCUCUCUGGGAAUGACCCAAUGUGGGCCCCACCCUCACGGUACCCAGAGUCUGGACUCGUGCUGGGGGCCUCAUGAGCCCAAGAAUGCGGAAAAGUUCACUGGAGGAGGAAUGGUUUUCCCACAGAAAUGCCCAGUGGUCUUUCCUUGGUCCUUCGAGCACUAACUACCCAAAGCACCCAGUGCACCCCGUGGCUCUGAGUUCUGUGACAUUCAACUCACUCUCUGGAGUACCGUGUUGUCCUUCAUGCUGGGUGUUCUCAUUCUUCAGAUGUUGCUGGUGGAGCCAGAAAGAGCCUCAGCUUGUCAGUGACUGUCUGCAGGAUUCCUGAGUUCUCCAGCAUCAUCUCCCAGCAAGUUCAGAACAUUCUACAGCUUCAGCAAGAUGUGAAGACUUCCUUUGUCAUCAACUUGUAUAUGUGACUCGGACAGAAAAGAUCCUGAGGGCAGAGGCGAGGAGACCUGCUGAGCAGGGCGGAUGUUUGAGUGGAACUGAGUUUAUAAGUGGCCAGGACAGCAGCAGCAAAUGUGGUCGUGUUUUCACAGCUUUUACAUCCAAUAUGGAUAAUACUCAGCUGCUGGAGCCCGCUGUCAGAAUGAGUUGCAUCACCCCAGAACUGAUCGCAUCUAAGGAACGUCAGGGAAGAUAAAGUUCCACCUUGGCUCAGCCACUGUGGAUCUCUGUGACAGAACCUUGGUCUUCACUCACACACCUUGUCUCUUGGUGGUAAUAACACCUUGAUUUCCUGGGAGGAGCAUUCCUUCCCACUUUAUGCCCACGUGGUUCAGCUGGGGCUGAUACUGCCUCUGGGAUGCACUGAUGCUCCUGUGAUGCAGGUUUAACCAAUCAGAGUGCUCUUUUUCCCUGGCCACAGUGGCUGGCUCAAUGAUGGCCACAUGACCCAAGCCUGCUGGCAGUUUUGCAGGGAACAUCAAGCUUUGCUAGAACCUCCAGGGGAUGUGAAGCUGGAUGGCUGUGGGCCUGAGGAUAAAGCCAGCAUGUAGGAGAGCAGUGUGGAAACACAUACAGAGACACCAGCUGGGCACCUGAAGCUUGUGAUACACCUGAAGCCAAUAUAGUUUACCUGUCUGCAUAAACAGCCUAAGUUUCUCUUCUGUCACUUGUCUCUGAGAGCACUGAGGCUGCUUUGCCUGGAGAAAGAAAAAUUGGGGUGAGGAAGGCAUGGGCCUGAUGUCCUCAAAGACCUGAAGGGCUUCCCUGGCUGGCUAUACUCAUAUGCACACUGAUUUCCAGUGGGAGGAAGGACUCUUCAUGAGGCAGGACCUUCCCACAGUGAGAACUGUUCAAAGAGGGCUGUGCACUGGCUCAGGAGGGAGGGAGCCCCCCUCCUCAGGGCUGUGCAGACAAGGAGCAUGUGGUGAAAGGGACUUAGGUUGGCUGCAAGGACCAUGGUCCUGUCAUCGGAUGAGUAUGGCCUAGGACCUCAGACCCGCUUUAGUGGACAGCUGGGAAGCAUCAGUGACUCCCGUGCUAAACUGUAAAAAUGUUUAGGAUCAUCAAGAAAGUCCAAGAAGUGUUCAGUGAUCACCACAGCAUCCACCAUUGUCAGCUCGAGAAAUAAAACCUCACCAAUGCAGCUGAGCUCCUGGUCACGGAGCUGCCUCCGGCUGGAAACUCUCACUGAAUGUGCACCGUCCUAAGGGUGAUGGAGCCCACAGGUCUUUCCUAAAUAGAGAGUAAGAAUUGUCCUACUUUCAGGCUCUGAAGAUUUUUUGUUUAUUAACAAUGGUGAAAAUAAAAGUGCUGGUUGUUAUUGUUCA